rnacentral:rRNA from 1 species
AGCGAACGCUGGCGGCAGGCCUAACACAUGCAAGUCGAGCGGGGUUUUCGGACCUAGCGGCGGACGGGUGAGUAAUGCGUAGGAAGCUGCCCGAUAGAGGGGGAUACCAGUUGGAAACGACUGUUAAUACCGCAUAGUGUCUACGGACCAAAGUGUGGGACCUUCGGGCCACAUGCUAUCGGAUGCGCCUACGUGGGAUUAGCUAGUUGGUGAGGUAAUGGCUCACCAAGGCGACGAUCUCUAGCUGGUUUGAGAGGAUGAUCAGCCACACUGGAACUGAGAAACGGUCCAGACUCCUACGGGAGGCGGCAGUGGGGAAUAUUGGACAAUGGGCGCAAGCCGGAUCCAGCCAUGCCGCGUGUGUGAAGAAGGCCUUCGGGUUGUAAAGCACUUUCAGCGAGGAGGAAGGGGUGUGUGUUAAUAGUACACACCUUUGACGUUACUCGCAGAAGAAGCACCGGCUAACUCUGUGCCAGCAGCCGCCGUAACAC